rnacentral:rRNA from 1 species
GACGAACGCUGGCGGCGUGCUUAACACAUGCAAGUCGAACGGAAAGGCCCUGCUUUUGUGGGGUGCGCGAGUGGCGAACGGGUGAGUAACACGUGAGUAACCUGCCCUUGACUUUGGGAUAACUUCAGGAAACUGGGGCUAAUACCGGAUAGGAGCUCCUGCUGCAUGGUGGGGGUUGGAAAGUUUGGGCGGUUGGGGAUGGACUCGCGGCUUAUCAGAUUGUUGGUGGUGUAGUGGCUUACCAAGGCUUUGACGGGUAGCCGGCCUGAGAGGGUGACCGGCCAAAUUGGGACUGAGAUACGGCCAAGACUCCUACGCGAGGAAGCAGUGGGGAAUAUUGCACUAUGGGCGGAAGCCUAAUGCAGCAACGCAGCGUGCGGGAUGACGGCCUUCGGGUUGUAUACCGCUUUAGCCUGUGACGAAGCGUGAGUGACGGUAAUGGGUAAAGAAGCACCGGCUAACUCCGUG